rnacentral:rRNA from 1 species
CGAUAGAUCAAGAUAUCUGGAAUGGUUUUUGAUCAAAAUCUAUAUGGCCUUUGGAUUGGACUGCGUCCGAUCAGGCUGUUGGUGAGGUAAUGGCCCACCAAACCUGUAACCGGUACGGGCUCUGAGAGGAGGAGCCCGGAGAUGGGUACUGAGAAAAGGACCCAGGCCCUAUGGGGCGCAGCAGGCGCGAAACCUCUGCAAUAGGCGAAAGCCUGACAGGGUUACUCUGAGUGACUUUCGCUAAGAAAGUCUUUUGACACCUCUAAAAAUGGUGUAGAAUAAGGGGUGGGCAAGUCUGGUGUCAGCCGCCGCGGUAAUACCAGCACCCCGAGUGGUCGGGACGAUUAUUGGGCCUAAAGCAUCCGUAGCCGGUUUUACAAGUCCUCCGUUAAAUCCAGCUGCUUAACAGAUGGGCUGCGGAGGAUACUAUAAGACUAGGAGGCAGGAGAGGCAAGCGGUACUCAGUGGGUAGGGGUAAAAUCCGUUGAUCCAUUGAAGACCACCAGUGGCGAAGGCGGCUUGCCAGAAUGCGCUCGACGGUGAGGGAUGAAAGCUGGGGGAGCAAACCGGAUUAGAUACCCGGGUAGUCCCAGCUGUAAACGAUGCAGACUCGGUGAUGGACUAGCUUUAUGCUAGUCCAGUGCCGCAGGGAAGCCGUUAAGUCUGCCGCCUGGGUAGUACGGUCGCAAGACUG